rnacentral:rRNA from 1 species
CGGAGGGUGCAAGCGUUAUCCGGAUUCACUGGGUUUUAAAGGGUGCGUAGGAGGGCAGGUAAGUCAGUGGUGAAAUCUCUGGGCUCAACCCGGAAACUGCCGUUGAUACUAUCUGUCUUGAAUACUGUGGAGGUGAGCGGAAUAUGUCAUGUAGCGGUGAAAUGCUUAGAUAUGACAUAGAACACCAAUUGCGAAGGCAGCUCACUACACAUAUAUUGACUCUGAGGCACGAAAGCGUGGGGAGUCAAACAAGGAUU